UACGGAGGUUCCUAGCGUUGUUCGGAAUUACUGGGCGUAAAGGGAGCGCAGGCGGACCGUUAAGUCUAAAGUGGAAUCCCGGGGCUCAACCUCGGACGUGCUUUGGAUACUGGCGGUCUUGAGUUCGAGAGAGGAAAGCGGAAUUCAGGGUGUAGCGGUGAAAUGCUUAGAUAUCCUGAGGAACACCAGUGGCGAAAGCGGCUUUCUGGCUCGAAACUGACGCUGAGGCUCGAAAGCGUGGGGAGCGAAC
rnacentral:rRNA from 1 species